rnacentral:lncRNA from 1 species
UCAGGAUCUCGUGGUUCAUGAGUUCGAGCCCCGCUUUGGGUGAGCCCUGCUUUUCUCCCCACCUCACCCCUGCCCCUCAUGGGAUUCUCUCUCUUUGUCUGCUCCCCUCGCUCACUUGUGCCCUCUCUCUCUCAAAAUAGAUAGAGGCCUCUCUCUCAAGGCCACUGACUUGGCCUUGAAAGCUCAAAGCUCUCCAACAGACGUGGGCAGAUUCGGCCUCUGUCUCUCCCUCGCAGCUGGGCCGGCCCCGUGUCGCACCGGGCUCCAGGACCGGUGACAAUGGACAACGCAUCUUCAUCCUGACUUGUGUGGCAGAAAGCAGAGGAACCUCUGUGGCCUACAGCCGGAUGCCUCUGGGACCCCGGACCGCUGUGUCCCGCGGAGGGUCUGUCCUCGGUGUCUCCUUGAGGCCCCGGGGACAGUGCUGUGGCCUUCACCUGCGCAGUCCAGGACGCAGUCAGUAACAGCGGCUCCCUCCCCGUCUCAGCGCCGCCCUUGUGUGCAGGGCCAGGGAUCCUGGGAGAGGACACGGUCGGGGAGACAGUGUUCGGACCCGGAGGCAAACCAAUCCUGGCUGCUGGGACUUAGGGACCUUAGAGCGAACGACUGUGUGUCCUCUCUGCAGAUCAGGUCCCCAAGGCUGCAGGGCCCUGGCCCCUCCGGAGCCUGGAUAACUCUGCCUAUUUGUCAACGCCACCAAGGAUUUCACCCUGCGGAGAGAAGCCGCGGGAGCCCGAUAUCACUGCCGGUUCCCGGAUGGCGAAGGGUGGGGCCCGCUGUGUCCCCCUGACGGGCUCCCUGCGACAGGCCGGAGAGGACGUGCGGUACAGUCGGGCCCCGCUCGGCCGGGUGGCGGGGGUGGGGGACCACUCUCACGUCACCUGGACUUCUGGGGUCGGCGACAGUUAUCGCUGCACGGCCAGGAGCCGGUCAGUCAGAGCUCGGGCUCAGUCCCCACCGGGCGCCUCUGCGCAGGUAACCCCCUCCUGUGAGCCCCCUCCUUGACAGCCUGGGCCUAGGUCCUUAGCAUCCCCACCUGGCUUCCUGGGGACUCCAGGGCUGGUCGAGGAAAAGGCGGGC